rnacentral:rRNA from 1 species
UACGGAGGGUCCAAGCGUUAUCCGGAAUCAUUGGGUUUAAAGGGUCCGUAGGCGGUUUUUUAAGUCAGUGGUUAAAGCCCAUCGCUCAACGGUGGAACGGCCAUUGAUACUGCAAGACUUGAAUUAUUAGGAAGUAACUAGAAUAUGUAGUGUAGCGGUGAAAUGCUUAGAGAUUACAUGGAAUACCAAUUGCGAAGGCAGGUUACUACUAAUGGAUUGACGCUGAUGGACGAAAGCGUGGGGAGCGAACAGG